rnacentral:rRNA from 1 species
UGGGGGAAUAUUGGACAAUGGGGGAAACCCUGAUCCAGCGACGCCGCGUGAGUGAAGAAGUAUUUCGGUAUGUAAAGCUCUAUCAGCAGGGAAGAAAAUGACGGUACCUGACUAAGAAGCCCCGGCUAACUACGUGCCAGCAGCCGCGGUAAUACGUAGGGGGCAAGCGUUAUCCGGAUUUACUGGGUGUAAGGGGAGCGUAGACGGCAUGGCAAGUCUGAAGUGAAAUGCCAGGGCUUAACCCUGGAACUGCUUUGGAAACUGUCUAGCUAGAGUGCAGGAGAGGUAAGUGGAAUUCCUAGUGUAGCGGUGAAAUGCGUAGAUAUUAGGAGGAACACCAGUGGCGAAGGCGGCUUGCUGGACUGUAACUGACGUUGAGGCUCGAAGGCGUGGGGAGCAAACAGGAUUAGAUACCCUGGUAGU